rnacentral:tRNA from 1 species
GAUAGUUCAGGUGGUUAGAUCAUGGCGCUGAUAAUGCCAAGGCUGCAGGUUUGAUCCCUAUAUGGGGCA